GUUUAUUUUCCCGCCGAAUCCCCUUAAAAAAACCCUAGUUCUUCCUCCCAAAUAGGACCUCGCCGCCUCUCCUCCUCCUCAUCUUCGCCGGACCUGACUUGUAUGAUGCGACCGUCGAGGCUAUUACUUCUAAUGGUUACCAUGUUGCCUAUGAUGGAUGGGGAAACAAGGAGGAGGUCAAACUGAUGCUAAUUGCGCUUCUAUCUGAAUCUGAACUUAGAGUAUCUGAUGCCACAAUUGAGCUAAUCUUAGAUAAGGGGUGCAGCUUGGUGAAUGCAUUAAAACUUUAAUCCAUGCCGAUUACCCUGAACAGUGGCCUAGCCUUCUUCACUGGAUAACAUGCAACUUACAAUUACAAGACCAACAAGUAUAUGGAGCUCUCUAUGUGCUAAGGAUUCUUUCCAGGAAAUAUGACAUUCAUUCAUGCCUUGUGCUUCAGUCCAAAUAGGUACUGGCUCCGUGUUGCCACUCAAGAGAGUGUGAAGAUAUGGGAUAUGGAGACUGGAGAGCAAGUCUAUUGUUCAGGAUCUGAAGCCAACUGAUGCCCCUUAGCCAACUUCAUCCAAAAAACAGAGGUUGGUUUGGCCUUCCUCAAGGAAUGUAAAUGGAUUGACACGGAGCAUCAGCAGGCCAAAGUUCAUUUUUUGUCAAGAACAUCCUGAGAUUCGAAAUUCCAUCAUUUGUUAAAACUUGAAUUUGAUGGAUAAGGAGGAACCUCCUGAUAUCAAGUCACCUUUCUCUGUUAUCCUUCAGUGUCUUCUUCAUCUUUUCUAUGUAAAAAAGCUGAGGAUGUUUUAAUUUGAUCAAAGGAAUUGAUGAAUGCAUUGUUAUUGUCUCAA